rnacentral:tRNA from 1 species
UAAAGCUAUAGCUAUUAAUGUUUAUAAGAAGCAUUUAAUCGGUUAAAUUCGUUAACUUUAUC